rnacentral:rRNA from 1 species
GACAGAGGGUGCAAACGUUGCUCGGAUUUACUGGGCGUAAAGCGCAUGUAGGCGGGACUUUAAGUCGGGUGUGAAAUCCCUGGGCUCAACCUAGGAACUGCAUCCGAAACUGAGGUUCUGGAGUAGUGGAGAGGAAAGCGGAAUUCCGGGUGUAGAGGUGAAAUUCGUAGAUAUCCGGAGGAACACCAGUGGCGAAGGCGGCUUUCUGGACACUAACUGACGCUGAGAUGCGAAAGCGUGGGGAGCAAAC